AUGGGGAAACCGAGGGCCUCCGGUGAUGUCAGGACCGGGGCGCUUGCUUCCGGCAGCGGAGGCGCGACGGCGCCGCUCCUCCCCCGGAAUGAUCGCACGGCGGAUGCCAAGGUCCAGGGAGGCUCCCUCUUUAUGGUCCUGCUCAGCACCGCGGUCGCCGUCUGCGGCGCCUUCGAGUUCGGCACCUGCGUUGGUUAUUCUGCACCCACUCAGUCAGGAAUAGAGCGCGAACUCGGACUAUCCAUGGCUGAGUUCGCUAUUUUUGGGUCUGUAUUGACUAUCGGGGCAAUGAUUGGUGCCGUUACCAGCGGACGCUUAGCGGACUCUCUUGGACGUAAAAUGACCAUGCGGAUAGCAGCUACUAUUUGCGUUUUUGGUUGGCUUUCUAUACAUUUCGCUAAGGGUGCUAUUAUGCUCUAUUUUGGAAGAACCUUGCUGGGCUUUUGUACCGGUGUUCUUUCUUAUGUGGUGCCUGUGUUCAUAGCUGAAAUAGCGCCUAAGGAUCUCAGAGGUGGCCUUGCAACUUCAAACCAGUUGUUGAUCGUUUGUGGGAGUUCGACUACUUACAUAACAGGGGCGCUGGUUACAUGGCGCAAUUUGGUAUUAGUUGGUAUAGUGCCAUCUGUUCUCCUCUUAGUAGGUCUUCUCUUCAUUCCAGAGUCACCAAGAUGGCUGGCUCAGGUUGGAAGGGAGGAAGAAUUCCACACCGCAUUGCAGAUGCUGCGUGGAGAGAAUGCUGACAUAUCUGAAGAGGCCAUUGAGAUCAAAGAGUACAUUGAAUCCCUCCAAAGCCUCCCAAAGGCCAGGAUUCAGGACUUGUUUUUGAGCAGAAAUAUAUUUGCGGUCAUUGUGGGUCUUGGCUUGAUGAUCUUCCAGCAAUUGGGAGGGAUAAAUGGUGUAGGCUUUUAUGCAAGCUCUAUCUUUAGUUCUGCAGGAUUUUCUGGAAAACUUGGAACCAUAUUAAUUGGCAUUGUUCAGAUUCCCAUUACAUUGCUUGGCGCCUUUCUCAUGGAUAGGAGUGGAAGAAGGGUUCUUCUAAUGGUUUCCGCAUCUGGGACAUUCUUGGGCUGCUUUUUGACAGGAAUAUCGUUCUACCUAAAGGCGCACGGACUAUUCCUAGAAUGGGUUCCUGCAUUGGCUCUUUCCGGCAUCCUGGUAUAUAUAGGUGCAUACUCAAUUGGAAUGGGCCCCGUCCCUUGGGUUGUCAUGUCUGAGAUAUUCGCGAUUAACAUCAAAGCAAUCGGCGGAAGCUUGGUGACCCUCAUUAGCUGGCUUGGUUCCUUCGCGGUCUCUUACUCGUUUAACUUCCUCAUGGACUGGAGCUCAGCAGGGACGUUCUUCAUGUUCUCUGCGGCGAGCUUGGUCACUAUACUGUUCGUGGCAAGGCUAGUGCCUGAAACCAAAGGAAAAACACUCGAAGAGAUCCAGGACGCAUGGAAUUAA
rnacentral:rRNA from 1 species